UUUGACCUCAAAUCAGGUAGGACUACCCGCUGAACUUAAGCAUAUCAAUAAGCGGAGGAAAAGAAACUAACAAGGAUUCCCCUAGUAACUGCGAGUGAAGCGGGAAAAGCUCAAAUUUAAAAUCUGGUAGUCUUUGGCUGCCCGAGUUGUAAUCUAGAGAAGCAUUAUCCGCGCUGGACCGUGUACAAGUGUCCUGGAAUGGACCAUCAUAGAGGGUGAGAAUCCCGUCUUUGACACGGACUACCAGGGCUUUGUGAUGUGCUCUCAAAGAGUCGAGUUGUUUGGGAAUGCAGCUCUAAAUGGGUGGUAAAUUCCAUCUAAAGCUAAAUAUUGGCGAGAGACCGAUAGCGAACAAGUACCGUGAGGGAAAGAUGAAAAGAACUUUGGAAAGAGAGUUAAACAGUACGUGAAAUUGCUGAAAGGGAAACGCUUGAAGUCAGUCGCGUUGGCUGGGGAUCAACCUUGCUUCUUGCUUGGCUUACUUCCCAGUUGACGGGUCAGCAUCAGUUUUGACCGGUGGAUAAAGG
rnacentral:rRNA from 3 species